GAUAGCCCUAGUACGUGAAAAGAGACGUGUGGUACUGAGCUGACGAAAGUAGGCGGGACACGAGAAAUCCUGUCUGAAGAUGGGGGGACCACUCCUCCAAGGCUAAAUACUCAUCAUCGACCGAUAGUGAACCAGUACCGUGAGGGAAAGGCGAAAAGAACCCCGGGAGGGGAGUGAAAAUAGAUCCCUGAAACCGCAUGCUUACAAAAAGUCGGAGCCCGCAAGGGGUGACGGCGUACCUUUUGUAUAAUGGGUCAGCGACUUACAUUCAGUGGCAAGGUUAACCGAAUAGGGAAGCCGUAGAGAAAUCGAGUCCGAACAGGGCGUUCAGUCGCUGGGUGUAGACCCGAAACCAAGUGAUCUAUCCAUGGCCAGGAUGAAGGUGCCGUAACAGGUACUGGAGGUCCGAACCGACUAGUGUUGCAAAACUAGCGGAUGAGCUGUGGAUAGGGGUGAAAGGCUAAACAAACUUGGAAAUAGCUGGUUCUCUCCGAAAACUAUUUAGGUAGUGCCUCAAGUAUUACCUUCGGGGGUAGAGCACUGUUUUGGCUAGGGGGUG
rnacentral:rRNA from 1 species